GUGUAGAGCUGGAUGAACACAGCAGGCCAAGUAGCAUCACAGGAGCCGGAAAGGUAACUGGACAUAUGGCAUCAUCAGAAACAAGCCCAGAAAACCAAGCGGAGGCUUGGGGACCGCUUUGCAGAACACCUACGCUCGGUUCGCACUAAACAACUGCACCUCCCAGUCGUGAACCAUUUCAACUCCCCCUCCCGUUCCUCAGAUGACAUGUCCAUCCUGGGCCUCGUGCAGUGCCACCAUGAUGCUACCCGAAGGUUGCAGGAACAGCAACUCAUAUUCCGCUUGGGAACCCUGCAGCCCAAUGGUAUCAAUGUGGACUUCACAAGUUUCAAAAUCUCCCCUCUCCCUACUGCAUCCCAAAACCAGCCCAGCUCGUCCCUGCCUCCCUAACCUGUCCUUCCUCCCACCUAUCCCCUCCUCCCACCUCAAGCCCCACCCCCAUCUCCUACCGACUAACCUCAUCCCGCCCCCUUGACCUGUCCGUCCUCCCUGGACUGACCUAUCUUCUCCCUAACUCCCCACCUACACUCAUCUUUACUGGCUUCAUGCCCACCUCUUUGACCUGUCUGUCUCCUCUCCACCUAUCUUCUCCUCUAUCCAUCUUCUAUCCACCUCCCCCUCUCUCCCUAUUUAUUUCAGAACCCCCUUCCCCUCCCCCAUUUCUGAAGAACGGUGUAGGCCUGAAAUGUCAGCCUUCCUGCUCCUCUGAUGCUGCUUGGCCUGCUGUGUUCAUCCAGCUCUACACAUAGUUUGGAUAUAGAUAAUGAGCAUCAAAAAACAACUCCUACAGUAACUUGGAAAUUCAUUGGUGUUUCACCAGUCUUGACGAACUAGAUAAUCCCUUUCCACAUAGUGUGCAGCAGCAGAAACAGACUCCAAUGAAAAAGGUUCAAUUCCAAAUAUGACUAACAGCAAACUACAGUCAUUGUAGUUACUUCUGAGCUUGCUGGUGUCUCAGCAGGUGGGCCGACUGACUGAUUCCCUUCCCACACAUGGAGCAGGUGAACAGUCUCUCUUCAGAGCGAACUCGCUGGUGAAAAACGAAUUGAGAUGAUUGCCUUGAGGCUAGACCCACUGCAAGAAUGCCAAAAUGGUCUUUCGUCAGAGUAAGCAAGCCGCUGGGCCAUCAGUCCUUGGUAACUUUUAUAGGAUUUUCCACAAUCUGAACAUUUAAAAUAUCUCUCAGAGUAAAGCAGCUGGUGUCUCAGCAGGCGGUAUGAGUGAGUGAAUGCCUUCCCACACUUGUGAAUUAAAAGUAUGAGAUUCAGUGAGGACUGAUCCGAGUCGGGCUGAAAGUCAUGAAAACUAUUGCUGCCAGAUUUCUGACAACAGGGUAACCGGUUUUAUUGUCUCCAGUACGAAUCCAGAUUCGACCAGAUCAAAAACAAAUGUACCCCAGUAGAUUUCGAUCUGAUCUCAUACUGGGCCAUGCGGGUUUUCUCUUCUGGAGCUAUUUGUUCCUUCUUUCGUUCCCUCUCUAAUUAAGUUAAACUGAGUCAGAGUCAUACAGCAUGGUAACAGACCCUUUGGUCCUACUAGUCCAUGCCAACCAUGUUCCCAAACUAAGCUAGGUCCGCCUACAGGUGCU